UGGGGAAUCUUGCGCAAUGGGCGAAAGCCUGACGCAGCAACGCCGCGUGUGUGAUGAAGGCCUUCGGGUUGUAAAGCACUGUCAAGAGGGAAGAAAAGCAGCGGGCUAAUACCCCGAGGCGAUGACGGUACCUCUGAAGGAAGCACCGGCUAACUCCGUGCCAGCAGCCGCGGCAAUACGGAGGGUGCGAGCGUUGUUCGGAAUCAUUGGGCGUAAAGCGCGUGUAGGCGGGCGGGCAAGUCAGGUGUGAAAUCCCGAGGCUCAACCUCGGAAUUGCGCCUGAAACUGCUUGUCUUGAGUACGGGAGGGGGAAGCGGAAUUCUUGGUGUAGGGGUGAAAUCCGUAGAUAUCAGGAGGAACACCGAUGGCGAAGGCAGCUUCCUGGACCAGUACUGACGCUGAGACGCGAAAGCGUGGGGAGCAAACAGGAUUAGAUACCCUGGUAGUCCACGCCGUAAACGAUGUU
rnacentral:rRNA from 1 species